CCCUUAGAUGUUCUGGGCCGCACGCGCGCUACACUGACGAAUGCAACGAGCUUAUAACCUUGGCCGAAAGGUCUGGGUAAUCUCCAAAUUUCGUCGUGAUGGGGAUAGAUUAUUGCAAUUACUAAUCUUCAACGAGGAAUGCCUAGUAAGCGCAAGUCAUCAGCUUGCGUUGAUUACGUCCCUGCCCUUUGUACACACCGCCCGUCGCUCCUACCGAUUGAAUGGUCCGGUGAAGCGCUCGGACCGCGGCCUCUUGACGGUUCGCUGUCGAUUGGCUGUGGGAAGUUCGUUAAACCUUAUCAUUUAGAGGAAGGAGAAGUCGUAACA
rnacentral:rRNA from 1 species